AAAUUGCACAAAAUGUUUGUGCCCGAAUCCUUCGAUGUCCUUAUUUUAUUCGGCAAUAUUAAGGUGCAAAAUAAUGGAUCGAUAACAUAUAAAAGGACAUCUCACUGUGUAUCAGAAUGAUGAUGCAUGAAAUAUUUCCGACAUGAAACUAUUGUGCAAAAGGAUGCAUCGAGUGCCUGAAUAUAUUGCUUUGCAGUUGUACUAUAAAAUGGGGUGCAUUCGGAAGGUGUAUCAUAUUUCGAAGACCGCAACACGAGGUUUUCGCACGUUCGCAAAUUGGUCAGUUCACACCUGGAAAAUCAACCAAGGGAAAAACAACAACCGACCA